rnacentral:lncRNA from 1 species
AUCAGACCCCGCCCCUUCAGGGAGAACACGGCCCGUUGGCCCCGCUCACGGCGAGAGCACCGCCCACAGGCUGAAGAUCCUGCCCCUUCAGGACGGCCGAGAACGCGCCUGCCUUGCACCACCCCCACCCCGCCCCGCGUCCUUCAGGAGAGCCGGAAACGCUCCUACCCCUACUUCGCUUCUGCACGGCCGCGAGAACGCACCUGUCCAGCCCCCUGUUCGCUCCGCCCACUCAGCGCGCGCGGGAGCGCGCGCGGGAGCAGCUCCAACUUUUUCAAUUUGCCGCCAUCUUUACGGCGGCCGACUUCCCAGCCUGCCUCGCGUCCAGGGAGGCGGAGCUCAGGUCACACCUUGGCUGUAAAGUGUCCUAACAGCCACCUACUUAUGAUUACUGCUUUCUUACCAAUAACCUCCCCAGCCUGUUGUGUGGCUCCUACAUCUUGAACAAAAGCGACCAAGGCAUACAUCUGUAGGAGACCAGAAUAUGCCACCCCAAAAUAUGCCUCCUUGGCCUAAGGAUUAUUCUGAGCUAGUAAUUUUGAGAAACAGAAGCUAUGAAAACAGCAUAAGCUACCCCUUUGAAAGAGAAAUUCACCCCGGCCACCACCCCGUCUGGGAAGUGAGGAGCGUCUCUGCCCAGCCGCCCCGUCUGAGAAGUGAGGAGCCCCUCCGCCCGGCAGCCGCCCCGUCUGGGAAGUGAGGAGCCCCUCUGCCCGGCCGCCAGGCCGUCUGGGAGACCUCGCACUGGAUGGAUCAGCUGGCACCACCCAGAUCGAUAAACUGGCUCAUCAGAUCUUGUGGCCCCCACCCAGGAACUGACUCAAGCACAAGACAGCUUCAAUUCCCUAUGAUUUCAUCUCUGACCCGAUCAAUCAGCACUCCUGACUCACUGGAUGCCACCCACCCUCCAAAUUAUCCUUAAAAACUGUGACCUCCAAAUGCUUGGGGAGACUCAUUUGAGUAAUAAAAAAAGUCCCAGUUUCCCACACAGCUGGCUCUGCAUGAAUUAUUCUUUCUCUAUUGCAAUUCACCUGUCUUGAUAAAUUGGUUCUGCCUAGGCAGCAGGCAAGGUGAACCUGUUGGGCCAUUACAAUCUCAUAGCAGUGGCAGAAUGGACAGACCAGUGAACCCUGUGCUAGGACAACCUGCACCAGGCCCUGGCUGUUGUAGGAGGUCCUUUUUUUUUUUUUUUUUUUUGAGAUGGAGUUUCACUCUUGUUGUCCAGGCUAGAGUGCAAUGGCGCGAUCUCGGCUCACCGCAACCUCCGCCCCCUGGGUUCAAGCAAUUCUCCUGCCUCAGCCUCCCAAGUAGCUGGGAUUACAGGCAGGCACCACCACGCCCGGCUCAUUUUGUAUUUUUAGUAGAGACCGGGUUUCUCCAUGUCAGUCAGGCUAGCCCCAAAUUCCUGACCUCAGGUGAUCCACCCGCCUCCCCGCCUCGGCCUCCCAAAGUGCUGGGAUGACAGGCAUAAGCCACCGCGCCCAGCCUGUUGUAGGAGGUCUUGAACAAACCACUUAACUUGUUUGGGUGGGGCUUAGUUUCCACGUUAGUAAUCUGGAAGUAACAGUUCUGCCUUAUCUGUCUGUUAGGGUUUUGACACUUAGUGAAGUAUGGGAUUUGUAUACUGUAAAGUGAUUGAAUGUAUUUACUAGGUGCAAUACAUAAAAUACGAGUUUCAAGCACUGCUCUGCUUUUACUUAUAGAACCACGUUCUCACUUUUCUAGCCUGAUCAUUCAAGACCCUUGAACACAUCGUCCUUAUCUCCCGCUCCUCAUUGAGACCCUUCCAGAACACUACAAACUUGUAAUACUUAGCUGUAUCACCAGCAAACCAUGUCCUUCCCAAUUUCAGGACCUUUCAAUGUGCUUUCCUCUGCCUGGGGGUGGGUGGGGGGUGGAGAGUAGUUUCCUCCCAACCCAUGAAACCUCUCCACAAAGGUAGAAGAGACAGAAAACCAUUACUGAAUAAGUAUUAAACCAGAUUGUGAUGCCGUACAUCACAUGCAACCUGCUAAAGGCAACACAAAGACAGAAACUCACUUUUUCUAUGCAGCUAAGUAGAGAUAGCCCAUCACAUUAUGUAGGUUUUGCAAUUUGGAGUCAGGUGCCAAGUUAAGCCUUUGUCCUCCUAAGAAGCUGGACUCUUGGCCCUUUCGUCCCUUAACAAUUGCAUUUUUUUCUUUCUUUGUUUUUGAGACAGAGUCUCGCUCUGUCUCCAGGCUGGAGUGCAGUGGUGCUAUGUCGGCUCACUGCAACCUCCGCCUCCCGGGUUCAAGCGAUUCUCCUGCCUCAGCCUCCCGAGUAGCUGGUACUACAGGCACGCUUCACCAUGCCCAGCUAAUUUUUGUAUUUUUAGUAGGGACAGAGUUUCACCAUGUUGGCCAGGAUGGUCUCGAUCUCUUGAUCUUGUGAUCCGCCCGCCUCAGCCUCCCAAAGUGCUGGGAUUGCAGGCGUGAGCCACCGCACCCAGCCAACAAUUACACUUCAAGGAGAUGGCUCCCAAGAAACAUUCCUGAGUUGAACCUGGCCAUAUAAGAAAAAGACUUGAGUACAUUUGGAAAGGAGAGAGGCUGAAAUUUUGAAAGAAAAAGGGAGGGGGAUGGUUUCUCGUCCCUUCUUUUCCUCAGGGAAAAUUAAACCCUAUGUAUAAUUUGUAUUUGCCCUUCCACCUGCAUCACCUUUCCCACAUGCUCCCACAGGCAGGCUCCUGUUCAUUCCCAAGGCUCCGUGUCCACAUCGUGCUUGGAUUCCGCCCGGCCCCGCCUGUGCGGCCGCACCAGGAAGGCACCACCCAUUAGGGGCUCAGCGCGUCCCUCCAGGCCACGCCGUCAGGCCUCCGUCCUUUUAGCUGUAGGGGCAGAUUACGUAACUCCAGCCUUCUGGUCACUAAAGGAGGGUAACAAAGGGCGGUCGAGAGACUCCACUGAGUUGACACGCAGACGCAGCCUCAGGACCCUAAACUCUACGCCCCAGCACACCCUACCAAGCGAGCGCCCGCGGCCGCGUGACGUCAUCUACCCCAAACGCUGUGGCCCCGGCCACGCACGGCUUCGGGGCGGGACUACGCGGUGACGUCGAGGUGCGCGGCGCAGCGCGCGGCGUCAGUCUUGGCUGGCAGACCUGUACUCCGUACUCCGUACUUCGUAGUCGCAGCGGCGCGGUCUUCGGCAGUCUAGUCAUCCACCGCCAUCCUGGGCCCCACGUGUUGCCUGACCAUUCCUGAGCCCAGGUGGGAGCCGUGGCUGAGGUGACGGUCUCAAAGUGGAAGAGCUUACUGUCACAGCAACUCCUUUGCAAGAUGCCCCGGUAAAUCACGUUGCAGAGACCCCAACUCUGCCUUCCUGGAACUAGGCCUGCGUUUUCUCUGAACCAUUAUUUCAUGGGGAAAAUGAAAUCUACUUCAUGUGCCUGGUCUACUUACUCCUUCAGAAGUGAUUUCUGAGCCGCCAGGAAUAGUUGCUGAACACCCCAGGCCUGCUGAGGUCCCUCCUUGAGUCUCAUGUUCAAGCAGUCUUUGUCCAUGAAACUGGGAGGCGACCGUGUUAGCUGCCAGUUCCUGACAGCCACCUCUCACCAGUGGCUUCACUCUGUGUCCCUGACCCAGCACAUGGCACAAGAGUGCCUGCCAUCCGUCAGUGUUUCUACAGCAGCAAUCCCAAGAUGCUGGAGCUAGAGGGGACCUGACCUGAGAGAAGAUACCUUCAGUGGCUGCCAGGCUGUUCCUUGGAACCUGUGCAGGGAUGAGGCCUGCCUGUGUUAAUACACCUAGUGAGGAGUGGAGCUGAAUUUGAAUGCAAGCCUUGGCACCUUAAUUGAGCAAGUUUGAAACCUCGCUUGUUGCCCUUCUGGAAGGAGUCAGGAAUUUCCAGUUCUGGGCCUGGGCUGUGGGUCUGGCAGACAGACCUCUGGCCCUAGGUUUGGGUGCCAGGUUCUCUGCUUCCAGAAUGAGAAGCUUUGCUGUGCACCAGGACCUGGGCCCUUCUGGUAUCUCCUGAAUGAAAAACAAGGGAUAUUUAAUAAAUAUGGAUUUAAAUAUGUGA